AGCGCUGGGGCUCGGCUCUUACUGGGCCGACACAGAGAGUCCCAGUCCAGCCCACCUGUGCCCCGUGCUCACCCCAACCUGUCCCUGAAUCCCUGCGCAUACCUGUGCUCUCCCAGCUCUCCACUGUGGUGGAAUUGCACAACUGUCUCAUCACGAGCGAGCGGCCCCAGGCACGCUCUGCACAGGAGGGUGGCACCUGGCCUUCUGGAAACUUCCAUGACGCACCUGGCCGAGCCCGAGGAGAGAGUGCCAGGCAGAGGGGCGUUUCAGGUCCGAAUGCAGAACCCUGGUCCCAGGGAGCCCCCAACCAGCAGGUGGUGUGGGUCACCCCGAAAUCAUCGGAUCCCCAAACACUCCUGAACACUUCGGUUUCGACCACUGAAGCGGUCAGUUUGGUAGUGUGGUCAAUGACGUUGUUGAAGGAUCAUGGGAAAGGACAAUCCCAGCUGCGUGGAGCUCUCAGCUCUCAAUCAGCUGACGUUUAAUCAGACUUCACGUGUUUCCACUCCUAACUGAUUUCAGGGAGACCAGUAACACCCGUUGGACUGUGACCCCCCCAGGAUCAAGGCUGGGUUACAGUGCUGAUUUCAGGGUGCCUUGUGGGACCUGUUAUUCUGGGGUCCCCCAGGGAUCAGGGCUGGACACCCCUGGGCUACAGAUUAAUGAUUGUGGGACCUGCUGUACUGGGGUCCCCAGGGAUCAGGCCUGGACACCCCUGGGCUGCAGGCUGGUGAUUACAGGGUGUGCUGUCCUGGUGCCCGUGUUCUCCCCGUCCUGCCUCUGCUCUCCGCGGCUUGGGCUCGGUGCAGGCGCGGGGGCGGCGAGGAAUCCUGCUCCAGGCGAGGGCCCGGCCAGAUGCUUGACAUUGUGGCUAAUUUGUUUUGACUCUGUUUGCUCUUCCUCCGUUGUCUGUUGUUCCUCCAAACCUGUUGGACAGGUGUGACGGGUCAGGUCUGCGAGCGAGGGCGGCCUGCAGCUGCCAGCGUGGCACGAAAGCAGCCUACGCAUGCUGAUGCAGCUCCCCACCUGAACUACUGUAUACAGAGUAGCCAUGAGGCAGCUGUGCACUGAAGAUAGAGGAGCCCUGGUCGAUGAUUGGGUAACAGACAGUCCGGUCCAGUCCAGGACAGCCUGACCCUGACAGUGCAUGUGUGCUACAUGACCAGUGACAGGGCCACAGGAGAGCAGAGGACCACAGUGUCCAGAGGUCUAAGCCUGGCUCAGCAGACCGGGGCUGGGCUGCGCCCUGCGUGGGUGGUAGCUAGGGGGCGCUGGUCCACACCCUGCUGGCCCGGCUCCACUGUGAGGCCAUACCGGCACGUGAGGGACUGGAAAAUCUGAAAAGCAAACAUUCCUCAACAAGAACAAGCUCACAGAGA